AACGAACGCUGGCGGCAUGCCUAACACAUGCAAGUCGAACGAGACCUUCGUGCCUAUGUGCGGACGGGGGGGUACCGCGUGGUAACCUGCCCGUAGGUUCGCAGUAACUCCCCUAAAGGUAUCCUAAGACCGGUUGAUGUAUUCGCGGCAAAGAGCUAUCGCCUUUGGAUGGGCCCGCGUUGGUUUAGCUGGUUGGUAGGGUACAAGCAUACCAAGGCGACGAUCCAUAGCUGGUCUGAGAGGAUGAUCAUCCACAAUGGGACUGAGACACGGACCAGACUCCGACGGGAGGCAGCAGUGGGGAAUAUUGGACGAUGGGCGAAAGCCUGAUCCAGCAAUGCCGCGUGAGUGAUGAAGGCCUUAGGAUUGUAAAGCUCUUUUACACGGGAUGAUAAUGACAGUACCGGGAGAAUAAGCUCCGGCUAACUCCGUG
rnacentral:rRNA from 1 species